UGUUUUUCUUUGUAUCAUGUAGUAUGUGGGGACUGAUGCAACUCCUAUGCCUGGAGUUCCCCCGUCGGGUCUUGCAGGAAUACCUGGUCAACUCUGCUCCCCUGUCAAUGUAUGCCCUGUUGCUGGACAUGGUAGAGGUGAUUGGAGAUGACCAAGAAUGUUGGGGAGGUGCUACGUCUGGACGUAACUUUGGCAUUGUGCUGGAAUUCACUCUUCCUUCACACAAGUAUGUUUCCCUGACAGACCCCAUUUUGGGAACGUCCACUGCUGAAAUCACUGAAUGGGUGUCGUCAGAAGGAUUUUUCACUAUAAGCAGUUUCAGCUUUUCAAAAAUUUAUGAUUCAAAAGGCUUAUACCAGAGCUGAUCACUUGCCUUCAGCACAUACAUGGAACAACAAAUAGUAAUAUUCAGGCACCGCAAAGUAGAGUUGAACAACUGAUGUUCCCAUGGCACAUUGCAAUUGCUAGCAUACUUUCUUUUUCUUUUCUUUUGAUUUUAUUUUUGUUUCUAACUUUGUAAAUCAUCUCAUUAACUAAAUUAUUCAUAAUUUGAAUAUGUUGCUUAGUUGCAAAUUGUGGCUUAUAUAGUUGAAAUAAGUUCCAGCAA